rnacentral:rRNA from 1 species
CCUACGGGUGGCAGCAGUGAGGAAUAUUGGUCAAUGGCCGUAAGGCUGAACCAGCCAAGUCGCGUGAAGGAAGAAGGAUCUAUGGUUUGUAAACUUCUUUUAUAGGGGAAUAAAGGUAUCCACGUGUGGAUAUUUGCAUGUACACUAUGAAUAAGCAUCGGCUAAAUCCUUGCCAGCAGCCGCGUUAAAACGGGGGAUGCGGGCGUAAUCCGGAUUUGUUGGGUUUAAAGGGUGCGUAGGUUGUUGUUUAAGUCAGCGGUGAAAGUUGGUGGCUCAACGAUAUAAUUGCCGUUGAAACUGGAAGACUGGAGUGUGUUUGAGGUAGGAGGAAUGUGUGGUGUAGCGGUGAAAUGCAUAGAUAUCACGCAGAACUCCGAUUGCGAAGGCAGCUUACUAAGCCAUAACUGACACUGAAGCACGAAAGCGUGGGGAUCAAACAGGAUUAGAUACCCGGGUAGUC